GGAUCAUUACCAGAGCUCUCUCGCGAGACUCCCAAACCAUUGUGAACCUUACCCCCGUACGCGUUGCUUCGGCGGGCGUCCCCUCGGGGUGCCCGCCGGCGGCCGACCAAACUCUUGAUAUCCCAGUGGACUCUCUGAGAAAACAAACCAAUAAGUUAAAACUUGCAACAACGGAUCUCUUGGUUCUGGCAUCGAUGAAGAACGCAGCGAAAUGCGAAAAGUAAUGUGAAUUGCAGAAUUCAGUGAAUCAUCGAAUCUUUGAACGCACAUUGCGCCCGCCAGUAUUCUGGCGGGCAUGCCUGUCCGAGCGUCAUUUCAACCCUCAAGCCCCGCUUGGUGUUGGGGUCCUACGGCUGCCGUAGGCCCUGAAAGCUAGUGGCGGGCUCGCUACCACUCCGAGCGCAGUAACGCAUCUCGCUAGGGACGUGUGUGGCGGGUUCCGGCCGUGAAACCCCCCCAUUUUCACAAGGUUGACCUCGGAUCAGGUAGGAAUACCCGCUGAACUUAAGCAUAUCAAUAAGCGGAGGAAAAGAAACCAACAGGGAUUGCCCCAGUAACGGCGAGUGAAGCGGCAACAGCUCAAAUUUGAAAUCUGGCCUCGGCCCGAGUUGUAAUUUGCAGAGGAUGCUUUUGGGUGCGGUGCCUUCUGAGUUCCCUGGAACGGGACGCCGGAGAGGGUGAGAGCCCCGUACAGUUGGACACCAAGCCCUUGUAAAGCUCCUU
rnacentral:rRNA from 1 species